rnacentral:rRNA from 1 species
UACGGAGGGUGCAAGCGUUGUUCGGAAUUCUUGGGCGUAAAGCGCGUGUAGGCGGCUUUGCAAGUCGGGUGUGAAAGCCCUCAGCUCAACUGAGGAAGUGCGCCCGAAACUGCAGAGCUUGAGUGCCGGAGAGGGUGGCGGAAUUCCCCAAGUAGAGGUGAAAUUCGUAGAUAUGGGGAGGAACACCGGUGGCGAAGGCGGCCACCUGGACGGUAACUGACGCUGAGACGCGAAAGCGUGGGGAGCAAACAGG